rnacentral:rRNA from 1 species
UACGGGGGGGGCAAGCGUUGUUCGGAAUUACUGGGCGUAAAGGGCUUGUAGGUGGCCAACUAAGUCAGACGUGAAAUCCCUCGGCUUAACCGGGGAACUGCGUCUGAUACUGGAUGGCUGGAGUGUGGGAGAGGGAUGCGGAAUUCCAGGUGUAGCGGUGAAAUGCGUAGAUAUCGGAAGGAACACCUGUGGCGAAAGCGGCUCACUGGACCAUAACUGACGCUGAGGCGCGAAAGCUAGGGGAGCAAACAGG